rnacentral:rRNA from 1 species
GUCCACGCCCUAAACGAUGUCAACUGGUUGUUGGACGGCUUGCUGUUCAGUAACGAAGCUAACGCGUGAAGUUGACCGCCUGGGGAGUACGGCCGCAAGGUUGAAACUCAAAAGGAAUUGACGGGGACCCGCACAAGCGGUGGAUGAUGUGGUUUAAUUCGAUGCAACGCGAAAAACCUUACCUACCCUUGACAUGUCUGGAAUUUUGCAGAGAUGCGAAAAGUGCUCGAAAGAGAGCCAGAACACAGGUGCUGCAUGGCCGUCGU